UCAGAUAUAACUUUUUUUCUUUUUGACUAAUUAUCAAAAUAAUGUAUAGUCCUACAAAGCUGUUAUUAUCAGAGCAUGUGAGCAGAGCAUACCGUCACGAGAGGGUAGCGUCAUUUUACCAGCGUUGUCCAGUACAGCAGUACUACAGCAUGUUACAGCACAGUAUGCGUUGCUAUUGCAAACUAUUGCGUCACACAUUGAGUGGUGCGCGCUGAAUACUGCCGGACUGCGCAGCAGAUAUUUUCGGCCGUUAUCUUUUUCGAAUUUCUGUAAAAAUCGGCUGUACACUAGCCUCGCCGCGCCCCCCUUAUCAUAACACUCAUCAUAAUCUUUCUCGAAAUUGUUUGGAGCAUAAAUUGAGCCGAAUACCACAUAUUCACCAUAAAGAGUCCCUGUAACCAAAACAAACCUGCCUUCUGAAUCAGAUAUGACUUCCUCCAACAUAAAUGGUAAAUGUUUAUGGAUAAGCACUGCUACACCUCUCUUUUUAGAUGCAAAUGAAGAAUAAUAUGCUUUACCUACCCAAUCCCUAACCAAUUUUUUAUGUUCAGUAUCUGAUAAGUGUGUUUCUUGGAGCAGCGCUAUAUGCACCCUCUCCUUCUUUAGAGCUGUUAGAACCUUCUUGCUUUUAAUAACAUUAUUCAACCCUUUCACAUUUCAACUCUGAAUCUUUAACUUACUCAUGAAAAAUAAGGAUCAAAUGAACCUGCUGUAUGCUUGACUCAGGUACAUAAGUACAAUACUGCAUAUGUAUACAAAUAAUAUUAACACAUAUCUCUCUGACCAACACAUACAAAAAAACAAAAAAACAAAACAAACAAUACAAAUCCCCCCUCAACAUAACAAACAAACAAUACAUCUUAGUAUAUUUAAGUCACAUAUUAAAGAGCCGACUGUCUGCAUCCAGAUGAGGACAGCUUUCAUACUAUAAAGAAACUCCAUUUAAACAACAAAAAAACAAAAAAAAACAAAGAAAAUCCUCACCAAACUCCUGCCCCCACCACCAAAACUCUUUCUUGACAAUCUUAAUGCAUCGGUCACAACAAGGGAAAAUAAUUAACCUAAACAGUUUCCCUGCAAUAAACACAUCGUUAACAUUCACGCCAUGACCAUAAAGCAUUACCUGAGAAGUCAAAUGUCCCACAAAGAUCAUUGUUUAACUCUCCACUCAUUCAUUGCUGAUCGAAUUGAAAUAGUCUUGAGCCUGCUGUGGAGAGGAAAAAGUCAUUGUCCCAUUCCCGAAGCAGACUCUCAAAGUAGCCGGGAACAACAUAUUAAACUUUGUUCCCUGUUGUAAGAGUGCACUGCAAAUGUGAUUGAAUCCACGUCGCUUCUGACGGACAGUUUGCGAGAGAUCCUGUUGAAUGCUCACUCGACGAUCCUCAAACAAAAGCUGCUUCUUGGCAAACAAAAGCUGCUUUAAAACUUUUAAAGACAAGUAAUUUCCUGACAGUUAAAAGUGUUUUAUAGCCUACUGAAACAUACUCAGACUUAAUGUUGGCAACAAUGGAACCACCUGGGAGAAAACUGCCAGGUGACUUAUUUCUUGGCAUAAAAGAGAACGUCUCAGGGAACCAGGGUUACAUACGUUACCUGAGACAUUCCUUUUCGAGGAACUCGAACUUCGUCUUCAAGGGGUCACUAUGGGGAACAGUUAUACCCACGCUGCCAUGCUGAGGGGAGUGCAUGCCAUCAUAGAGGCGAGCACUAAGUACCAACUGCCUUAAACUGCCUUAAACUAAAAGCGGGUAUGAGAGCGCACCAGUUUCUCACAAGAAAUAAGCACUGAAUGCGACGAUCGCAUUCAGCUCCCUCGAGAGCUGAACGCGCAGCUCUUCACCACACACACACACAGCCCGUGAGCCCCGUGUAAGCGGGUAUGAGAGCAUGCCUGUCUCUCGCAACAAGCAAUAAAUGCAACAAUCUCAAUCGGCUCCCUCGAGAGCUGAUUUUCGCUUACUCCUCACCAUACAUGCACAGCCCAAAAGCCGUAUGAAAGGUGCGGGUAUCAGAGCGUGCUUGCCUCUCGCAAGAGACAAGCAAAGAAUAAAACAAGCGCAGUAUACUCCCUCGGGAGUAGAAAGCGCUUGCUCUUUACCACGCAUUGUCACACGCGAGCUGUCCUUAAAACCUCUGGUGAGGAAACAUGCACUCAAUUCGAACUUAGUUACAGACAAAAGGUCAGUAAAGAUGAAGAAGAGGAUGUUGUGUUCUACCGUCUCUACGCACCGGCAGCGACAAGUCGCGCUGGAAGUGACGUCAUAGGCUGUCGCCGGCUAAUACUGUUGUCAUUUUUUAUAUAGGCUUCAGACACGGGUCACGGAGAUGGCGUUCCCCAUACCGAUCCCUAGAGGACACAGUUCGAGUUCCUCGAAAGGGAACAAUGGUACAAGAAAAAUACCAAAUUAUUGUUUUAAUUGUGAAAGUAUAGCAGAAGUAACACUGACACUCAAAAACAAUGGACUUGUGACAAAGCUCCUGAAAUAAUCAGGUCUUCACUUUAAGUUUUCAUUUAGUGAUGAGUGAAUUUUUGCUAGAAAAAAAGCAUGCUAGAAUAAGUACCAUGCAAGUGUCUCAGAGCCGGCAAAAGCUAUGAAAAGAGUGACACUGUCUCACACAGUACAACAAAGCCAGCAGAACUGACAUGUAGCCAAAGCACAAUAAACUCAUUUGAACUCUUCCAAGUCCCAUAUUUACAAAAUAUAGACUUCUGGGAAUCCAUACUCUGGUCUCAAGAGACCAAGUCAAUCAUUUCAGAUCCAAAAGCAUCCAAAAUGUUCUGGUGUUGCUAUAGGAAGAGUACAGUGAAAGGUGCCUGGGACCCACAGUGAAGUUCAAUGAUACUAAAGCUCUUAUAUUGAGAUGUGUAUGAGUGCAAGAUGUGUAUGAGUGCUGAAGGUCUGAUGGAGUUGUGUUUUAUCAAUGUCGUCAUGAAUUCACACGCCACUGUGUGAUGUAAUACAAACACUUGAAACUGAAGAUGCUACCCUACCCUCAUUCCCUGCAUUAUUGGGCAUUUUUUCAGCAUGACAAUGAAGAUAUUCAUUCUCCCAAGGUGAAAAUCCUUCAGUGGACAUGUAUUUCACUCAAUCUUAAUGCUCUUUAGCAGCUGUGGGGGAUUCUGUAGAGACAAGCUGAGCAAAACUCCCCAUUAAAGACCAGAGCAUUUAAGGAGAUCAUCCUCAUUGAGUUAAACAGGACAAGAUGUGAAAAUUUGUAAUGAAUUUGUACAAUCAGUGCCAAGAAGGAUCAGAGCAGUAUACCUAAAGUUCCUGGGACAUACUAAGUACUAGAUUAUUAUACAUUUGCUGAAUUAAAUCUAAGAUGUACUCAUUUCUGCACUCCUUCAUGUAAACAAAAUUGCCUAAUUAUCAUACAAAAAAUAUUGGCGUAUAUUUUGUUGUUUUUAUUAAGUAUAUGUGUAACGUGGAGAGGGAGACAAGAGGCGAGCGGGUCCAUCUGCGAGCUUUUAUUAAUGGGACGAGGCAAAGACAUGGUCAUACAGGCAGGGUCAAAACAACAACAAACAGGAAUAUCAAAGGCAAGACGUAGGGAUAAAUCCGAGAAACAGUCCAAUGGGCAGGCGGCGAGACAGUCAAAACGGGGAAGCCAGGCGAGAAUACAAAACACAGGAACUAGGAACUAGGAACAAUGGAAAUCACUACAACAAUACCAAUCACAAUACUCCAUGCUUGCAUGGGGAAAGACCGGGGCUUUUAUAGCGCUGCUGAUUGGUCACGGGUGCUGACGCAACCAGCGCGAUGGAUACUGGGAGAUGUAGUCCGGGCUGUAAUGCAACAGUCAGUGUGUGAUAAGGUGAGAGUGACAUCUGGUGGUGAGCGGACCGCGGAACACCGACCAGAUUCGUAACAAUAUGUUUAAUACAUCUCAAUUUUGCCAUCUUUUCAUGAAUUAAAUUAGUGAUCAUUAAGAAAAUACAUAUUUUAUAUUUAUUUAGAGGGGGUGUACUCAUUUAUGCUGUGCACUGUAUAUAAAUAUAGUCAUACUAAAGCCUGUUUUUCACUUAGGUCUAUUGUAUUACUAAAAAAAAAAAAAAAAAAAAAAAAAAUCAGAUUACUCAAUUGCCAAAAUAAUCAGUACAUUACUUGAUCACCAAAAUAAGCAUUAGUUACAGCCCUAGAUUAGUUAAAAUAUUUCAAAAUACAACUGCAUUGUUUUGCUUUUUAUAAAUAAAUGACAAAUAUUUUGUCAUUUAAAAAGCUCUUAAAAAUAGUAUUAUAAUAUUGUCUCAUUCUAGUAAACCAAGAAUCUGUGAAGAAUCUCAUGAGCUAAGUUUAUUAUCACUCCCCUAGUGUCUACGAGCAUGAUACAGCUUUAUAUGUAUGAUAUAGCUUUCAUUCUUAAGGUCAAUUAUAUAUUCAUGAAAAAAAUAAAAAUAAAUAAAAUAAUAAUAAUAAUAAUAAAAUAAAAUAAAUCAGUUUAAAUAAGGAAAGCGACAAGUCAAGACACCUUUAUUUUUAUUAGAGUCAUGGCUAGCAACGCCAGACCUACCACUGCAUACACAACUGCACUUUGAAAAAGGUUUAGAAGCAAUACGAAUGGGUGUUUCAGUAUAUCUCCACCCCAUUUAUUAAACUUAAGUGAAGUUUCCUUCGAGCACACUUCCAUUUUUUUUUUUUUUUUUUUUUUUUUUUUUU